rfam:Erinaceus europaeus unplaced genomic scaffold scaffold01002, whole genome shotgun sequence
UGGCGCCCAGACGUGGGGCCCGAGGCACGGGGGAAUCCAGUGAGGAAUGCCGUUGAUCAGAAAAGAGGACUGCAAGUCGUUUCAUUAAUCAAGAGGUCGCCGUGAACACACCCGGUUCGAAGGAAAGACCUAGAAGGUAAGCGGAUGGCGAUAUCAUAGGACAAGAAAUCAGUGCACAAGAAAAGUUUAUUGAGAGUCUUAAAGACUCACUCAAGGCGCGAGGAGUAAGGGUUAAGAAGAAAGAUCUUGCUCAUUUUUUCCUUUUCCUUAGAGAUGUUUGCCUUU